GACAGAGGGUGCAAACGUUGCUCGGAGUUACUGGGCGUAAAGCGUGCGCAGGCGGCUCAUUGCGCCCGGCGUGAAAGCCCCCGGCUCAACCGGGGAGGGUCGUCGGGGACGGGUGAGCUUGAGGGUAUCAGGGGUUGGUGGAAUUCCCGGUGUAGUGGUGAAAUGCGUAGAGAUCGGGAGGAACACCCGUGGCGAAGGCGGCCAACUGGGAUACACCUGACGCUGAGGUACGAAAGCGUGGGGAGCAAACAGG
rnacentral:rRNA from 1 species